UACGGAAGGCAGCAGUGGGGAAUAUUGCACAAUGGGCGCAAGCCUGAUGCAGCCAUGCCGCGUGUAUGAAAAAGGCCUUCGGGUUGUAAAGUACUUUCAGUCGUGAGGAAGGUGUUAAGGUUAAUAACCUUAGCAAUUGACGUUAGCGACAGAAGAAGCACCGGCUAACUCCGUGCCAGCAGCCGCGGUAAUACGGAGGGUGCGAGCGUUAAUCGGAAUUACUGGGCGUAAAGGGCACGCAGGCGGUUAAUUAAGUUGGAUGUGAAAUCCCCGGGCUUAACCUGGGAAUGGCAUUCAAGACUGGUUAGCUAGAGUCUUGUAGAGGGGGUAGAAUUCCAUGUGUAGCGGUGAAAUGCGUAGAGAUGUGGAGGAAUACCGGUGGCGAAGGCGGCCCCUGGCAAAGACUGACGCUCAUGUGCGAAAGCGUGGGGAGCGAAACAGGGAUUAGAUACC
rnacentral:rRNA from 1 species